UCAUACAUAAAUAGUUAUGUUUAUAUCAAUAUCUAGGGCUACUGUAAAAGUUGAGUUUACCGGAGUAUUUACCUUUUGCAUAAUGGGUUAACUAUAAGGGCAUAGUUAUACUUUCACGAAUUGAUUUGAGCUAAAUCUUCAUUGUUAUUAGAUUAUUAUAUUGCAUGUAACAUAAUGCAAGCUAAAUGAACAUUUAGGGGUGAUAGGCCUUCCAAAAAUCAGGAUAUCUUGAUAAUCUUUAAAUGUAUAUAGUACUUCAACAAUUAUAGAGUGAUUAGGCUCUAUAAAUAUAUAAAUAUUAAAUUUUAAUUUAAAUAGGUUUAAAAACCUUUUUAUAUUAUUUUGUAACACUAAUGUUAAUUAGUUUAUAUAAAGUAGAGAUAUUUAUAUUAAAUUUAAAUAUAUAAUAAUAAUGUUAAUAUUAGUAUAAGCAUAGAUCUUAAUAAUGAACUCGGCAACUUUACUCUCAACUGUUUAUCAAAAACAUAACUAUAUGAGCAUAUAUAUAGCUAUUUCUGCUCGAUGUAACAUAUAAAUGGCCGCAGUACCUUGACUGUGCAAAGGUAGCAUAAUCAAUUGACUUAUAAUUGAAGUCUGGUAUGAACGAAUUUAUGGGGGAAAACUGUAUCAUUAAGAUUAUUAUAAAUUACUUAAUAGGUGAAAAUUCCUAUUAUUAUAUAAUAGACGAGAAGACCCUAGAAAUUUUUAGAAAAGAUAUAAUUUUUUGUUGGGGCGACAAGGUAACAUACAACUUACCUAUAUAAAUAUGAAUUAUGUGCUAUGUAUAAAAAAAUUACUCUAGGGAUAACAGCAUAAUAUUAUAAAGUUUAUGACCUCGAUGUUGGACUAGGAAUUUAUAGCCCAGAAGGCAAUUAAUAAUGCUCUGUUCGAGCAGAAGACUCCUACAUGAUCUGAGUUCAGACCGGCGUGAGCCAGGUCAGUUUCUAUCUUUAAAUAGUCUACUAAAAGUACGAAAGGAAAUUUAGGGGAUUCAACUAUGA
rnacentral:rRNA from 1 species